UACGUAGGGUGCAAGCGUUAUCCGGAAUUAUUGGGCGUAAGAGCGUGUAGGCGGCCGCACAGGUCCGUUGUGAAAACUGGAGGCUUAACCUUCAGACGUCGAUGGAAACCGUGCGGCUAGAGUCCGGAAGAGGAGAAUGGAAUUCCUGGUGUAGCGGUGAAAUGCGCAGAUAUCAGGAAGAACACCCGUGGCUAAGGCGGUUCUCUAGUACGGUACUGACGCUGAGACGCGAAAGCGUGGGGAGCGAACAGG
rnacentral:rRNA from 1 species